AUUGAACGCUGGCGGAAUGCUUUACACAUGCAAGUCGAGCGGCAGCGCGGGGCAACCUGGCGGCGAGCGGCGAACGGGUGAGUAAUGCAUCGGAACAUGUCCAUGUCGUGGGGGAUAGCCCGGCGAAAGCCGGAUUAAUACCGCAUAAGCCCGAGAGGGGAAAGUGGGGGACCGCAAGGCCUCACGCGAUUGGGUUGGCCGAUGUCCGAUUAGCUAGUUGGCGGGGUAAGAGCCCACCAAGGCGAUGAUCGGUAGCUGGUCUGAGAGGAUGAUCAGCCACACUGGGACUGAGACACGGCCCAGACUCCUACGGGAGGCAGCAGUGGGGAAUUUUGGACAAUGGGGGCAACCCUGAUCCAGCCAUUCCGCGUGAGUGAAGAAGGCCUUCGGGUUGUAAAGCUCUUUUGUCCGGAACGAAACGGUUACGGUGAAUACCCGUGACUACUGACGGUACCGGAAGAAUAAGCACCGGCUAACUACGUGCCAGCCGCCGCGGUAA
rnacentral:rRNA from 1 species